rnacentral:lncRNA from 1 species
UUCUUCACCCUGGGAUUCCCGUGUGCACAGUGGUGCUAAGGUGCAAGAGAGGAAACGGAGGGGGCAACCGGAGAAGACCGCUAACAGCCUCUGCAGAGAGGUGGGCGUGGUUACCACCAAGGUCCCGCCCCGUUUUGGCAGCGACCCCAGCUGGAAAAACUGGACCUCUGCGUAACUACGGGCAGCGCUACGUGGGCAGUCCCAGGUUUUCACUUUCAGAGGUUUAGUCCAUUGUCAUCAUGGUAGGGAAUAUGGCACGCAAAUGGACAUGGUGCUGGAGAAGUCACUGAGAUAUGAAAAAGUGAGCAGAAGUCUGCCUAAGGGAAAGCUCGAACUAUAAAACCUACUCUGGAGCUGGAGAGAUGGCUCAGAGGUUAAGAGCACUGACUGCUCUUCCAGAGAUCCUGAGUUCAAUUCCCAGCAACCACAGGGUGGCUCCCACUAUCUAUAAUGAGAUCUGGUGCCCUCUUCUGGUGUAUACAUAAUAAAUAAAUAAAAUCUUUAAAAAAAAAAAAAACCUACUCUGCUUCCUGUUAUGGUUUGGAUCCCAAGUGUCCCCUCAGGAUUUAUGUGUUACGGACUCAAUUCCCCACUGCAGCAGUGUUCAAAGCUUUGGAAAGUGGUCAGAUCUUAAAGGCUCUGAUGUCAUCAAGGGAC